GCGUCGGCACGAGAUCCCGGUCGACGGCGCGGCACGAGGUUGUUGACCAGACGGAGGGCGGCGGCCAUGCUCGCCUCUCAAUCUCAUCUUACGGUGAGGUGAGUGACUGGAUGUAAAAUUUACUACUACUCUCUCUUCUCAGUUCUAGUAUUUCUCGUUUAUAAGGAUUUGCUUGGGCAAAUCACUAAAGCGAUAAUUCAGAGAAAAAUCAGGAUAAGGGACAGGUCCACGGGCACAUCAGAGUUCUUGAUCCAUGGAACAAGGAAAAGGUCACACCUUUCUGCAUCUAAUGAUUCGACAUCCACAUGAACUGAUUUCUUUUGUUUUUAAUUUCAAAAAUAUUCAGACGAGAUGCAGCCAGAAAAUUUGGGCUUCCCAAAACCAAAACACCCUCGCCAACAUGACAUUGCAAGAGUCCUAGCUAGUCAGAUUACGGCGCAAAUUCGAUUAAAAAUCAGAAUUUUUUCUGCAUCUACUCCAACCAACACAGGCCAUAUAUGCCGUGUAACAAAAAAAGAAUUCCGGAAACAAGGAUCUGAGAGAACACUAGAAGAAGAAGACAUGCAUGGGGAGGGGAACCGCAUACCUUACUUACGAUGCCAGGAAGAGGAGGAGAUUAUUCAGUGGUAGAAUCUGGAAUGCGAGGAGAGCGAGAAGACGCCUCUGUUUAUAUAGGAGUAGGGGCCAAUACCAAGGCAAGCAGCUGGGAGCCUGGACGUUAACAUUAGCACAAGUAUAAAGAGCAUUAUUAGCAGUCUGAUUUGACGAUAAUCUCCCUGGUUUGGCUGCGCCGCGUUUCCUGGGCACCGCAUCACAACACCCACCAAGAGCAUAUCCAUCUGACUCAUCCCUGACUUUUCUUCGUGCAAUCAUUCUUGUGUUUUUUUGGCUUGGUUUGAGGCAGAUCUAGUAUAGGAGCAAUAUGGUAAGCUGUUACACAUGACUAAUUGAAGGCCGCGAUGCUGUCUCAAAGAAA